rnacentral:rRNA from 1 species
UACGUAGGGUGCGAGCGUUGUCCGGAAUUAUUGGGCGUAAAGAGCUCGUAGGCGGUUUGUCGCGUCUGCUGUGAAAUCCCGAGGCUCAACCUCGGGUCUGCAGUGGGUACGGGCAGGCUAGAGUGCGGUAGGGGAGAAUGGAACUCCUGGUGUAGCGGUGGAAUGCGCAGAUAUCAGGAGGAACACCGAUGGCGAAGGCAGAUCUCUGGGCCGUAACUGACGCUGAGGAGCGAAAGCAUGGGGAGCGAACAGG